UACAGAGGUCUCAAGCGUUGUUCGGAUUCAUUGGGCGUAAAGGGUGCGUAGGCGGGCUGUCAAGUCUGGGGUGAAAUCCGGCAGCUUAACUGUCGAACUGCCUCAGAUACUGAUGGCCUCGAGGGAGGUAGGGGCAUGCGGAACUGUAGGUGGAGCGGUGAAAUGCGUUGAUAUCUACAGGAACUCCGGUGGCGAAAGCGGCGUGCUGGACCUCUUCUGACGCUGAGGCACGAAAGCUAGGGGAGCAAACGGG
rnacentral:rRNA from 1 species